rnacentral:tRNA from 1 species
UGGCCCGUAGCUCAGCCUGGUAGAGCAGCGCCCUCAUAAGGCGUGAGUCGCAGGUUCGAAUCCUGCCGAGCCAA